GAGUAAUGCUUAGGAAUUUGCCUAUUAGUGGGGGACAACAUCUCGAAAGGGAUGCUAAUACCGCAUACGUCCUACGGGAGAAAGCAGGGGAUCUUCGGACCUUGCGCUAAUAGAUGAGCCUAAGUCGGAUUAGCUAGUUGGUGGGGUAAAGGCCUACCAAGGCGACGAUCUGUAGCGGGUCUGAGAGGAUGAUCCGCCACACUGGGACUGAGACACGGCCCAGACUCCUACGGGAGGCAGCAGUGGGGAAUAUUGGACAAUGGGGGGAACCCUGAUCCAGCCAUGCCGCGUGUGUGAAGAAGGCCUUAUGGUUGUAAAGCACUUUAAGCGAGGAGGAGGCUACUUUAGAUAAUACCUAGAGAUAGUGGACGUUACUCGCAGAAUAAGCACCGGCUAACUCUGUGCCAGCAGCCGCGGUAAUACAGAGGGUGCAAGCGUUAAUCGGAUUUACUGGGCGUAAAGCGCGCGUAGGCGGCUAAUUAAGUCAAAUGUGAAAUCCCCGAGCUUAACUUGGGAAUUGCAUUCGAUACUGGUUAGCUAGAGUGUGGGAGAGGAUGGUAGAAUUCCAGGUGUAGCGGUGAAAUGCGUAGAGAUCUGGAGGAAUACCGAUGGCGAAGGCAGCCAUCUGGCCUAACACUGACGCUGAGGUGCGAAAGCAUGGGGAGCAAACAGGAUUAGAUACCCUGGUAGUCCAUGCCGUAAACGAUGUCUACUAGCCGUUGGGGCCUUUGAGGCUUUAGUGGCGCAGCUAACGCGAU
rnacentral:rRNA from 1 species